rfam:Picea glauca, whole genome shotgun sequence.
ACAUGCCUAAAAAAUAGCGUUAAUGCAGCAACUCCCAUUAGAAAUCCAUAGUUAAGGGUGCUCGGUCUAGAGUAGUACUGGGAUGGGUGACUGCUCAGGAAGUACUAGUAUUUUACAUGCC